AUUCAGGCCCCGCCCCUUGUGGGCGUGGUUAUGUGGAAGUCCAAAAUGGAGAUGACGUAAUUUGGUUUGAAAGUUCGUCAAAACGUCAAAGCGGCGCGACAACUUGACUCCAACAUUCACGGUGUCCAUGGACGUAAACUCCACCUCUCCCAAGGCGGACACGCCCGCGUUGUUGACCAGCGCCCACAGACCUUGGGACACAACUUUAGUCUCUAAGGUGACAAGCAGCGGCGCCACCACCUUCUACCUCUCUGCGCCUCCCCCAGGUGAUCUCGGAUGAAGUCCACGGCGUCGACCACCUGCUGGUCGCUGCAGACGUCCAGCUGGAGCACCUUCAUGCGUGACGAGCGACAGUCCUCCAGCUUCUUUGCUCCCGCCCCACCUUGGUCCUGGAACACCACAUUUACUUACUAACUUCUGUCAAUAUCUGCCUUCCUCACCCAUUAUCAGGACAAACUUCUAAUAAUAGUAUUUAACCAACUAUACGGUAUAUAAGCCACACCCACUAAAAUAUGUUCCAUAUAUUAGCCGCACCGGACUAUAAGUCGCAGAUACCAAGGAAAAAGCUACAAACAAUCCGCAAUCCCAGUCUGUGGAACGCUCUCCCUGACCACCUGAGGGCACCACAGACUGUGAAUGCUUUUAAAAAGGCUUAAAAACCCUUCUUAAAA